GGAAGUUAAAAAUGUAACAAGGUUUCCGUAGGUGAACCUGCGGAAGGAUCAUUA
rnacentral:rRNA from 1 species